rnacentral:rRNA from 1 species
GAUGAACGCUAGCUACAGGCUUAACACAUGCAAGUCGCGGGGCAGCAUGGGGGUUGCUUGCACUCCCCGAUGGCGACCGGCGCACGGGUGAGUAACGCGUAUCCAACCUGCCCUUCACCACGGGAUAACCCGGCGAAAGUCGGACUAAUACCGUAUGUUGUCCAUUGACGGCAUCCGAUUUGGACGAAAGGUUUGGCGGUGAAGGAUGGGGAUGCGUCCGAUUAGCUGGACGGCGGGGUGACGGCCCACCGUGGCGACGAUCGGUAGGGGUUCUGAGAGGAAGGUCCCCCACACUGGAACUGAGACACGGUCCAGACUCCUACUGGAGGCAGCAGUGAGGAAUAUUGGUCAAUGGGCGUAAGCCUGAACCAGCCAAGUAGCGUGCAGGAUGACGGCCCUAUGGGUUGUAAACUGCUUUUAUGCGGGGAUAAAGUGGCCCACGUGUGGGUUUUUGCAGGUACCGCAUGAAUAAGGACCGGCUAAUUCCGUG